rnacentral:rRNA from 1 species
UACGGAGGGUGCGAGCGUUGUCCGGAAUCAUUGGGCGUAAAGAGCGUGUAGGCGGCCAGACAGGUCCGUUGUGAAAACUGGAGGCUUAACCUUCAGACGUCGAUGGAAACCGUCUGGCUAGAGUCCGGAAGAGGAGAGUGGAAUUCCUGGUGUAGCGGUGAAAUGCGCAGAUAUCAGGAAGAACACCCGUGGCUAAGGCGGCUCUCUAGUACGGUACUGACGCUGAGACGCGAAAGCGUGGGGAGCGAACAGG